rnacentral:rRNA from 1 species
GCCUGAGAAACGGCUACCACAUCUAAGGAAGGCAGCAGGCGCGCAAAUUACCCAAUCCUAAUACAGGGUGGUAGUGACAAGAAAUAACAAUACAGGACUUUUUGGUUUUGUAAUUGGAAUGAGUUAAGUAUAAACCCCUUUACAAGUAUCAAUUGGAGGGCAAGUCUGGUGCCAGCAGCCGCGGUAAUUCCAGCUCCAAUAGCGUAUAUUAAAGUUGUUGCAGUUAAAAAGCUCGUAGUUGGAU